rnacentral:lncRNA from 1 species
AGCCCAGAAAUACUGGAGUGGGUAGCCUAUCCCUUCUCCAGCAGAUCUUCUCUUCCUAGGAAUUGAACUGGGGUCUCCUCCAUUGCAGGCAGAUUCUUAGUAGAAGAAUAGCAGAAGGUUGUAGAACAGUAGAAGGGUGAAGUGCGAAUAAUGACAGCAUUUUUGGCUGAGGAACUGGCGGGUCUGUGGUCUCCCAGGAAGGGUAAGGGGUCAGCUUAAUUAGGAACAUCAAAAGGAGAACUGCCUGGCCUUCUCAUGAGCAUGAGUAGUCAAGAGCUGAAUACAAAAUAUCUUGUAGUCCAAGCAAAGUUUAAAUUUUAUCCUAACGGUAACUCUAGUGGCAAUAUUGGAGGAUGGAUUGGAAGUUAUAAAGUCCCGUUAAAUUAUCCUGGCUUCCAACUUGAGUGGUAAAUAAGGCAAGAGGAGAUAAAGGAACGGAGACAUUUCUGGGGUAGAGAAUUCUGCAAGGUAAGAGAGAAACUUGCAAAUAUAGUAAUACCAAAGUUUCACAUUUGGGAUGCUGCACAUAUUAUGAUCUCUAAUUCUGAUAAUUGAUAAAGUAGGCAAGGUCCACACAUGAGGUGCAUGUUUUUGUUAACCUUAUUUUUUAUGGAGUUGUGAACUGCUACAAACACUUCUAGAGACAACACAUGACUUCAAGAAGGUAAUGGCAGUUUGAGGUCUCUUUGGAGGGCUAGUAGAAGGAAGAUAUGGGAGCAGGUGGAGCCCAAUGACUCGAGCAGUUCUGACUCAUGGUUUCUCUUAACCCUAGGUAAAGGGUGGUAUGCUAAUCAAGACCAGCCUCUGAAGUGAAAAGUACAAAGUGAGUCAUUGGUGGGGCCACCUGGAUUGAAACUGGGCUGCUUGCCAGAGUGGAAUACAUGAGUUACAAACUGUCGUAUUUUUGUGAUGUCAGCUUAAGGCCUAAUUAUAUCUGGUCCAUAUACAGUAAGUCCCUUUAGGGACAAUUGGUCAGAAUGCACUUGCUCUUCCUUGAAUAUAUGUAAAGGAUGAUUACAUAAUUUGCUUUGACUUUGGGGAGGUAACUUCACCUCUGAAGUUCUUCACUGGUUAAAUGAGUGUAUUUUUACUUACCUCCCAGACUAGGUGGAAUUAAUAACACCUAGAGGUACAUAGUGUAGGGUUCACAGUUGGCUUUCAACUCCAAAGCUUAUUCCUUUUCUAGUUUAUACAGACAUUCACAAACAUUACUGACCUUCAUCUCUGGCUGUGUUUAAUAUUCUUACUAUAAUUUUUCUCCC